AGCGCCUCACCCUCUCUUUCUCGUUUCUCCCUUUGCUCUCUCACGAUACUUUCUGGAAAAAAAAAGGAACACUGAGAAACAAAAACAAACGCGACUCACCUCACUCUCUCGGUUUCUCACGAUGAUGAACAAGGAAGCUAUCUCUCUCGUGUUCAUCUCUCUCUGAAACGAAAAAAAACAAACAACAGCAAAAGCCUCUCUUUGCUCUCCUCACGGCAACAACAACACUUAGUUUCUUUCUCUCGAUCGCUCACUCUUGUUGAAGAACAACAACAAUCGAAGCUUUCUCUCUCUUUCUGACUUGUUUUCUCUCUCGAUUAAUCAACAAGAAGAAAGCUCAUGGUUCACUUGCUCAGUGAACAACAACAACAUCACCCUUUUCGCGGUGAACAAAAACAGCGAAGCCUUCUCUUUCGCGAUUGCUCUCACAGUGGCCAUGGAAGAGAAGUUUGAAGUUCUUUCAAGGAAUUCGACUCUGUGCAUCAAGCGAGCAUCAAAAUUUAUAGGAGGAAGUGAAGAAACAUACCUGGCCGGAGUAAAUCCGGCGAAUCAGUUCCGGCGACGAUUCUUUGAUAGGUACAAUCAAUGGUUAACGAAAAUAUAGAGAGUUAAGGAAGAAAUACUUACCUGCGGCGAGGAUGCUUUAAGAUUCAUCUACGGAGGCUCGAAGAUGAGUGUCAUCAUUGAGGGCUGCUAGCAAGGUAUGAAGGCCUUCCCUCUUCUCCUUCUUACUUUUGAAUUUUUCUGUAACUUAGAAGUUACAGAUUGCUGGCUGCAUUUCUCUCUACUUUUUUCUUUUU